GGAUCCAGACUUUGAUCAUGGCUCAGGAUGAACGCUAGCUACAGGCCUAACACAUGCAAGUCGAGGGGAAACGGCAGCUUAGCUUGCUAAGCUGGACGUCGACCGGCGCACGGGUGAGUAACGCGUAUCCAACCUGCCCCACGGUGAGGGAUAACCCGCGGAAACGCGGCCUAAUACCUCAUGGUCUCCGAGCUUGCCAUCAACCUUGGAGUAAAGAUUCAUUGCCGUGGGAUGGGGAUGCGUCUGAUUAGCUUGUUGGCGGGGCAACGGCCCACCAAGGCAACGAUCAGUAGGGGUUCUGAGAGGAAAGCCCCCCACAUUGGAACUGAGACACGGUCCAAACUCCUACGGGAGGCAGCAGUGAGGAAUAUUGGUCAAUGGGCGAGAGCCUGAACCAGCCAAGUAGCGUGCAGGAAGACGGCCCUAUGGGUUGUAAACUGCUUUUAUGCGGGGAUAAAGCGGGCGACGUGUCGCCCUUUGCAGGUACCGCAUGAAUAAGGACCGGCUAAUUCCGUGCCAGCAGCCGCGGUAAUACGGAAGGUCCGGGCGUUAUCCGGAUUUAUUGGGUUUAAAGGGAGCGCAGGCCGGGUAUUAAGCGUGUUGUGAAAUGUAGGCGCCCAACGUCUGCACCGCAGCGCGAACUGGUGCCCUUGAGUACGCACGACGUUGGCGGAAUUCGCCGUGUAGCGGUGAAAUGCUUAGAUAUGGCGAAGAACUCCGAUUGCGAAGGCAGCUGACGGGAGCGCUACUGACGCUCAUGCUCGAAAGCGCGGGUAUCGAACAGGAUUAGAUACCCUGGUAGUCCGCGCGGUAAACGAUGGAUGCCCGCUAUUUGCGCAUUAGCGCAAGUGGCCAAGUGAAAACGUUAAGCAUCCCACCUGGGGAGUACGCCGGCAGCGGUGCAACUCAAAUGAAUUGACGG
rnacentral:rRNA from 1 species